UACGUAGGGUGCAAGCGUUAAUCGGAAUUACUGGGCGUAAAGCGUGCGCAGGCGGUGAUGUAAGACAGAUGUGAAAUCCCCGGGCUCAACCUGGGAACUGCAUUUGUGACUGCAUCGCUGGAGUGCGGCAGAGGGGGAUGGAAUUCCGCGUGUAGCAGUGAAAUGCGUAGAUAUGCGGAGGAACACCGAUGGCGAAGGCAAUCCCCUGGGCCUGCACUGACGCUCAUGCACGAAAGCGUGGGGAGCGAGCCGG
rnacentral:rRNA from 1 species